UUUCUGUCAUGUAUUUACUUUGAUUGAAGUUGUAGAUGCUAGACUAUCAACUUGGCUAUUAUUCUGGCUGCUUUACGACGAAGGACGCGUGAUAGACAUGUUUUCUUCUGCUAAAUUCAUGAGCCUUUUCAGCCCAGGCAACACAACCGUUCCCAAGUCAGGUCUAUCUUUCCGUCUUAACUCUGCGCAUUGUAAACCGAUUUUUGCUAAUAUUAAAGCCUCUUCAAUUGGCCAAUCAGUAACAAGAGGGUCAA
rnacentral:sRNA from 1 species